rnacentral:lncRNA from 1 species
ACGGAUGAACUGGAGGGUGAUGUCAUCAAAACCUUCGUCUCUGGAGGACCGAAAAACUAUGCAUACCAGACGGCCACUGGGAAAACCUGCUGCAAAGUCCGAGGAUUUUCCUUGAACUUCCGGAAUUCUCAGUUGCUGAAUUUUGAAAGUAUGAAACGGUUGGUCUGCAGCCUCGACCGAAGUGAGAUCAUCUCUCUCCACAACCCCUCCAAAAUCACCCGAGAAGCGAAGAGAAGAAAGGUGAUGAAUAAACCCGAGACAAAAAUGUACAGAAUUGUAUUAGACAAACGGGUAAUUCAAAAAGACUUGAGCACAUUGCCGUAUGGUAUAUUGAAGAAGAACUUUUUAUGUUUAUGUUAGAACCUUAUCUGAAAAUGAAAUUUUGUAUGUAAAUAUAUAUAUAUAUGUGUGUGCAGAAUCAUGCAUUUGUAUGUGUAUAAAAGAAAACUUAUUUAGAAAAAAAAAAAAAAAAAAAAUAAACAGAAGUUUGAAUGAUAAAA